CCCAUCUUCCCCACUUAUCCCUUGGGUAUAUAUACCUGUGUUUUCUGUCUGUCUGUGCCAGUUCGUCUUGUUUGUUCAAGUCUACCAGCGUUUUGUGUCUCAGCUCCUGCUUUUUCCAGCCUCUCUUUUCUCACCCUCCUGGUUUUGACGCCUGCCAGUCCUGACUCUGAGCUCGCCUGCCUGACUACUCUGCCUGCCCCUGAGCCUGCCUGCCGUCCUGUACCUUGGCCCCACCACUCUGGAUUAUCGACCCCUGCCUGCCUUGAGCUGUUGUUUGCCUACCCCUGUUACAAUAAACAUUGUUACUUCUACACAGUCUGCACUUGGGUAUAACCUGAAACCUGAUACUUUCUUGACUUUGAAUCAAUAGAAGAAAUGUGUGUCCUGCACUACAAAUCGUUUUCAAGGCAAAGGGUUUUGAUUUGUUUAUCACUUUUAUGCACACUCUGCCUACCCGGAUGUCCUAGCCGUGUCUGAAUCCUGGCUUAGGAUUUCCAUCCCUUACUACAACAUCUUCCGACAAGAUAGAACAGCCAAAGGGGGCGGUGUUGCAAUCUACUGCAGAGAUAGCCUGCAGAGUUCUGUCUUACUAUCCAGGACCUGAGCCCUAGGACCAUGCCCCAGGACUACCUGACAUGAUGACUCCUUGUUGUCCCCAGUCCACCUGGCCGUGCUGCUGCUCGAGUUUCAACUGUUCUGCCUUAUUAUUAUUCGACCAUGCUGGUCAUUUAUGAACAUUUUAACAUCUUGGCCAUGUUCUGUUAUAAUCUCCAUCCAGCACAGCCAGAAGAGGACUGGCCACCCCACAUAUGCUCUCUCUAAUUCUCUCUUUCUUUCUCUCUCUCGGAGGACCUGAGCCCUAGGACCAUGCCCCAGGUCUACCUGACAUGAUGACUCCAUGCUGUCCCCAGUCCACCUGACUGUGCUGCUACUCCAGUUUCAACUGUUCUGCCUUAUUAUUAUACGACCAUGCUGGUCAUUUAUGAACAUUUGAACAUCUUGGCCAUGUUCUGUUAUAAUCUCCACCCAGGACACAGCCAGAAGAGGACUGGCCACCCCACAUAGCCUGGUUCCUCUCUAGGUUUCUUCCUAGGUUUUGGCCUUUCUAGGGAGUUUUUCCUAGCCACCGUGCUUCUACACCUGCAUUGCUUGCUGUUUGGGGUUUUAGGCUGGGUUUCUGUACAGCACUUUGAGAUAUCAGCUGAUGUACGAAGGGCUAUAUAAAUACAUUUGAUUUGAUUUAAAGGUCUUGCUCACUUCGGCUACCGAGAGUGUUAUCACAUAGUCGUCCAGAACAGCUGGUGCUCUUGUGCAUGCUUCAGUCCUUGCCUCGAAGCGAGUAUAAAAGGCAUUUAGCUUGUCUGGUAGGCUCGCGUCACUGGGCAGCUCUGGGUUUCCCUUUGUAGUCCUUAAUAGUUUUCAAGCCCUGCCACAUCUGAUGAGCGUCAGAGACGGUGUAGUAGGAUUCAAUCUUAAUCCUGUAUUGACGCUUUGAUUGUUUGAUGGUUCGUUUGAGGGCAUAGCAGGAUUUCUUAUAAGGGUCUGGAUUAGUGAGCCGCUCCUUGAAAGUGGCAGCUUUAGCUCAAUGCAGAUUUUGCCUGCAAUCCAUGGCUUCUGGUUUGGAUAUGUGCGUACUGUCACUGUAGGGACGACGUCUUUGAUGCACUUAUUGAUGAAGCCGAUGACUGAGGUGGUGCACUCCUCAAUGUCAUUGGAUGAAUCCCGGAACAUAAUCCAGUCUGUGCUAGCAAAACAGUCCUGUAGCUGUCAACGGAAUUUCCUAUAUGUGUUCCUU